rnacentral:rRNA from 1 species
AGCGAACGCUGGCGGCAGGCCUAACACAUGCAAGUCGAACGAACCUUUCGGGGUUAGUGGCGGACGGGUGAGUAACACGUGGGAACGUGCCUUUAGGUUCGGAAUAACUCAGGGAAACUUGUGCUAAUACCGCAUGUGCCCUUCGGGGGAAAGAUUAAUCGCCUUUAGAGCGGCCCGCGUCUGAUUAGCUAGUUGGUUGAGGUAAUGGCUCACCAAGGCGACGAUCAGUAGCUGGUCUGAGAGGAUGAUCAGCCACAUUGGGACUGAGACACGGCCCAAACUCCUACGGGAGGCAGCAGUGGGGAAUCUUGCGCAAUGGGCGAAAGCCUGACGCAGCCAUGCCGCGUGAAUGGUGAAGGUCUUAGGAUUGUAAAAUUCUUUCACCGGGGACGAUAAUGACGGUACCCGGAGAAGAAGCCCCGGCUAACUUCGUG